AUCCAAACCUGAUUGAAAUGAAAAGCCCGUAAGCCCGGUCCUUCAUCGGGUGCGGACUUGUAAUGAAAAGCAGGACUGACA
rnacentral:sRNA from 1 species